AAAUAAAAAUCGGUGUUGUUGCUGCCUUUCGUGGUGACGCGUCGGAAUUGGGUCGUCUUUACCUUCGGUUAAGUGACUUAAAAUUUUUUAUGAUUUUCGAACGUAUUUAAAUUGCUUACGUACGUUUGAGAUAUCAAAUGUCUAUUAGGUUCGGUCAUCCUCAUGAUUCGCGCCUAUAAUUUUUCAUU
rnacentral:misc_RNA from 1 species